rnacentral:rRNA from 1 species
AUACGGAGGGGGUUAGCGUUGUUCGGAAUUACUGGGCGUAAAGCGCGCGUAGGCGGAUUAGUAAGUUAGAGGUGAAAUCCCAGGGCUCAACCCUGGAACUGCCUUUAAUACUGCUAGUCUUGAGUUCGAGAGAGGUAAGUGGAAUUCCGAGUGUAGAGGUGAAAUUCGUAGAUAUUAGAAAGAAUACCAAUUGCGAAGGCAGCUUUCUGGAUCAUUACUGACACUGAGGAACGAAAGCAUGGGUAGCGAAGAGGAUUAGAUACCCUCGUAGUCCAUGCCGUAAACGAUGUGUGUUAGACGUUGGAAAUUUAUUUUCAGUGUCGCAGCGAAAGCGAUAAACACACCGCCUGGGGAGUACGACCGCGAGGUUAAAACUCAAAUGAAUUGACGGGGGCCCGCACAAGCGGUGGAGCAUGUGGUUUAAUUCGAUGCAACGCGAAGAACCUUACCUACUCUUGACAUACUAGAAACUUUUCAGAGAUGAAUUGGUGCC